UGCAUUCUUGCAGAUGCCUUUCAAAACCAGAAAAUGAUUCUGUUAGGAGCCAGUGAGAGGGGAAAUGAAAAUGAAAAAAAUGGGCCUGCUUAUGCAGCCAUACAGACACUUUGUGAGGUAUCCCCCACUGGCAACCUGCUUGGCGUGGGGUGUUCGCAAGGACCCCAGGCCGGGGUCUGGAUCCUGCAGAAGACCCAAGAGAGCAUGGGAGGCUGCAGGACUUUGGCAGACUUGGCCGGCCUUUUGCUCUGUUUUCCAGCUUAAAGGCCACUUGGAAGUAAGCUCUGUGGCCGAGAGGAAAGGGGAGGCUGUGGCGGAGGUCUGGCUGGGUUCCUUGAGCUGAGCAGGAGUGCAGGAAGAAGAAAGGAAGCUUCCGAAGGCCUCCUCACUGCCAGAUUUCCUGUCUGCCAGCUGGAUGUCCAUCUUUUACACCUGCUGUCAUGGCGCCAAUGUCCAGGGGUCGAAGUUUUCAAAUCAUAAGGAUAAAAGUCACUGUGGAAGACCAACUUAAGGAUUCAGAAGAUUGUGUUCAAGUGUCAGUGCUGCCUUAUGACUCAGACCAGCCUCUAAUGCAGACUGAUCUUCUUCCUGGAUUUACCAGAAUUAGUGAGAUGGGGUGGCACUGUGAUUUCCAAGAGGAGAUGGUUCUGUGUUGGUGUUGGUCAGACAAGACUAAAUCUUCUUGAAGACUCUCUGGAGGAAGAUGGUGUCUAAAUGCAUGAAUAAAUGAAAAAGCCUAUAACAAGCCAGAGGAAGGGUAGAAGAGCAGCCGCCUGCCUUACCAUCCUCGGGAGACACUUCUCACUCAGCACCAGUACAUCCGUGGGCCCACAAGAAACUGAAGCUGGGUUUCGAGAAUGUUGAGUGCCUGUGGCUGGAGUUGAAACAGUAUUGUUAGCUUACUCUUCUACCUCACAGAGCAUCCUUACAAAAUGAUUUUGUCUCAUACAAUGUCUCAUAGAACGUCACUCUAACAUACUCAUCAUGGAGAGAGAAUUAUGCAUUUGAUUCUUUAAUCUUUUAGAUUAAUUAAAUUAAUGCAUUAAAUAAAUAAAUAAAACAAAUGCAUUAAUAAUCAAUGAUUUCAGAAGAUUAACGUGUCCUGGCAUUUAUGCCACAGCCCAAGAAAAUGGGAAAUGUUCUCCUUUUAAAACUUUGCAUUUUUUUUUUUAUGUAACGAAGGUAAAGUCACUGACUCUCUUAGGCAUUAAUAAGAAUGAGAGGAAAAAGAACACAUGAAAAAUAAAAAUAUGUUGGCACUUACCAGGCUACAGAAGUGACGAUCUUUUUUCAUCUUUUUUUUUUUUUUGCUAGUGUUUAUAGGAAAGUCAAUAUUGAGGAAUUUUUAGUAUUAAAAAAGUCUUAAGAUUAUAAAGUUGCUAAUAAAGUUUUUUUUAUGUGGUAACAAUACCAUACAACAUAGAACUUGUACUGUAACCUCAAGUUUAAGCUUUUUAGGGGAAAUGGUUGUAGCGGAAUGCCCAGAGAAGAUUUGGAAAGCCAACAAAUGUGGCAUUUGUCAGAACUGAUUAUAGACUGUUACCACUAGCAUUGGAGUUUGGACGUGGGAGUCAUGAAACCUGCUGCUCUGUAGUCCAGAAAGAUGUUAAUGAUGCUAACAUUAACAAUAGCUAGCUAAUCUUCACAUCUCCUGAAGUUUUAUACAUCGGUUAAAAUUUGCAACACCAUUGGAUAAAAUUGCAUGAUUUAUAGAAGUACCAUCACAAUAAAAAUUAGAAAGACACCUGUCAGAAUUUAAUAAUCCCAUACCGGUCUUCGAGAUCAGCCACAGCAUUCUGACUGAUGAGGAAAUUGAUGUGAUUGUGCCCAUCGACUUGUGCUCAGACUUAAAUUAUGGAAGAUGGCAAUGUGUAUUUACAGAAAUGUGUCCAUUUGCAAAGGGGUCUUGCUCAAGUUCAGGGAAAUGUUUAAUUUGGAGUGAACAGAGCAAUAAAGUGAAUUUUAAAAUGACUUUUAUUGAAUUCAAAAACUGUGAGCUAAAAGCACUUGAGUUAAAUUAAAAAGCAGUUUUGUUGAGUUAAUGGUGAGCAUAAAGAAUUAAAUCAAUAAAACCCCU